GUUUGAGUGUGUCUGGGCCGUGGGGCAUGUUUAACUCUUGAGAACUUGAGAUUAACAUUCAAUAGGAAUGCACAAUGCCUAGUACAUCCAAUUCUUAAUACAUGUCAGAGCUAUAUGACCAUUUAAAGCAUUAACAAAAUGCUGUAUCACUUCUAAGGUCUACUUUGAAAUUGGCAUAUGAAAGUCUCACUCUGAUUUUGGGGAUCCUGUUUUGUUGCAUUGAUAUUAAUGCUUGACCCACAUUUUUAUUUUACACCAAUCUACAAGAAAACAAAGCUUGGACACAGGAUCUAUAGUUUAAUCAGAAUCAUACCAUUCCUAUAUCUGUGUGCUGAUUUUUAUGCAAUAUAAUACUUUUUCACACAUUUUUCUCCAUUCUUAAAAAGCAC
rnacentral:lncRNA from 1 species